CGUUAAAACACCGGUUCCCGUAUGAUGGUCAAAGUUAAGCAACGUCGAGCCUGGUCAGUACCUUGAUGACUGACCGCUUGGGAAUACCAGGUGCUGUAA